rnacentral:rRNA from 1 species
AGUGAACGCUGGCGGUAGGCCUAACACAUGCAAGUCGAACGGCAGCACAGUAAGAGCUUGCUCUUACGGGUGGCGAGUGGCGGACGGGUGAGGAAUACAUCGGAAUCUACUUUUUCGUGGGGGAUAACGUAGGGAAACUUACGCUAAUACCGCAUACGACCUACGGGUGAAAGCAGGGGAUCUUCGGACCUUGCGCGAUUGAAUGAGCCGAUGUCGGAUUAGCUAGUUGGCGGGGUAAAGGCCCACCAAGGCGACGAUCCGUAGCUGGUCUGAGAGGAUGAUCAGCCACACUGGAACUGAGACACGGUCCAGACUCCUACGGGAGGCAGCAGUGGGGAAUAUUGGACAAUGGGCGAAAGCCUGAUCCAGCCAUACCGCGUGGGUGAAGAAGGCCUUCGGGUUGUAAAGCCCUUUUGUUGGGAAAGAAAAGCAGCAGGUUAAUACCCCGCUGUUCUGACGGUACCCAAAGAAUAAGCACUGGCUAACUUCGUG